CUUANCAUGCNAGUCGUACGAAGAAAGCUGAAUUUCGGGUUUGGCGAGUAAAGUGGCGCACGGGAUGAGUAACGCGUAGGUAACCUGCCCUUGNUGUUUGGGAUAGCAGAGCGAAAGUUCUGCUAAUACCGGAUACGAUCCUCUUUCGGGAGGAAGAAAGUCAGCCGCUCGAAGAAGCUGGCGCACGAGGAGGGGCCUGCGUCCUAUCAGCUAGUUGGUAGGGUAACGGCCUACCAAGGCAACGACGGGUAGCUGGUCUGAGAGGAUGAUCAGCCACACUGGCACUGGAACACGGGCCAGACUCCUACGGGAGGCAGCAGUGAGGAAUUUUGCGCAAUGGGAGCAAUCCUGACGCAGCAACGCCGCGUGGGUGAUGAAGGCCUUCGGGUCGUAAAGCCCUGUCAGGUGGGAAGAAAGGCUUGGUGAUGAAUAAGCAUCAGGUUUGACGGUACCACCAGAGGAAGCACCGGCUAACUCCGUGCCAGCAGCCGCGGUAAUACGGAGGGUGCGAGCGUUAUUCGGAAUUACUGGGCGUAAAGCGCGUGUAGGCGGGGAUGCAAGUCUGAUGUGAAAGCCCCGGGCUUAACCUGGGAAGUGCAUUGGAAACUGCAUUUCUUGANUGCUGGANAGGAAGGGGGAAUUCCCGGUGUANANGUGAAAUUCNUANANAUC
rnacentral:rRNA from 1 species